ensembl:lncRNA
AGUGUGGAAUACAACCUCUGUUGUUGAUUGGCAAGCUGGACGUUCUAAUGCAACAUGGAACCAAAUUUUCACUUCGCUACGCCUGUUCAAGCUUUGGAGCUACUGUCCAGAAAAAGUGCAAAUGGAAAUGUUGACGGAGGAAAUUCUAGUAGUUUCAGUUAUACUUCAGAAGUCCAACUGCUCAACAGGAUUCUAGUUUUGUUCAGUCUUCUGGUGGUGCUGCUCAAGGUAAACCUGUACUAAAUGCUCAAGGUCAAGCAACUCCCAUGGUUCAACCGCAGGACAACUUGAUGACUCAGUCCUCAAGGCUCUAUUGGUUUGAAUCUCUCAAGCCUGAAAACUGUGGCACUUUGCUCUCUCAAUCUUGGCCUCAAAAGGUCAGAAUAACGGUGGAUUCCAAAGACCUUCCAGGUUCCAGUUUGGAGGCACUGCAAACCAGACAUCUGGAUCCCAGACCCAGUCGUCAUACCAGCCUAGCACCACAACACAGGUUCAGCAGGGUCUAUUGCCCAGCCUGAGUCUUUCGGAGCUUCAGCUUCAUAUCCAAGUCAAACCUCUGGCAUGUACUCUGUUGUACAGGGUCCUCUGAUUGCAUCCUCUUCCAAAUGCCUGGGUUCCACAUCCAGUCAUCAUACCAGCCUGGCACCACAACACAGGUUCAGACAGGCCAGUCUGCGUCUACAUCUCAGGCUCAGUCCUCUGGUGCGUCAACGUUGUAUCAAGGGAUUAGCUCUGGCAGGUAUCUGACUUCACUGGGUCAUAUAAUUCCAUCCUCCUCCCAGUCUGUGGUCACUACAAACCAGACAUCUGGAUCCCAGACCCAGUCAUCAUACCAGCCUGGCACCACAACACUGCUCAGACAGGCCAGUCUGCUUCUACAUCUCAGGCUCUUGGCAGCCAUGGAGCUGCACCUUCAGGACAUGCUAAAUGGUACACCAUUGUACAAGGUCAGACAAUUCCAUCUUCUCAAGCCUCUGGAUCCCAGACCCAGUCAUCAUACCAGCCUGGCACCACAACACAGGUUCAGACAGGCCAGUCUGCUUCUACAUCUCAGGCUCAGUCCUCUGGUGCAUCAACAUUGUAUCCAGGGAUUAGGAGGAAUGUGACUUCUCUGGGUCAUGGCUUUCCAUACUCAACCCAGUCUGUGGUGACCGCAAACCAGACAUCUGGAUCCCAGACCCAGUCAUCAUACCAGCCUAGCACUACAACGCUCCUUCAGACAGGCCAGGCCUGUUCUUCCUCAGAGUCAGCCUUCGGGAGCUUCUGCUUCAUAUCCAAGUCAAACCUCUGGCGUGUACAAUAUUGCACAGCGUCCAUUGACUGCAACCCUUUCCGAAAUACCUGGGUUCCACAUCCAGUCAUCAUACCAGCCUGGCACUACAACACUGCUUCAGACAGGCCAGUCUGCGUCUACAUCUCAGGCUCAGUCCUCUGGUGCAUCAACAUUGUAUCAAGGAAUUAGGAGGAAUGUGACUUCUCUGGGUCAUGGCUUUCCAUACUCAACCCAGUCUGUGGUGACUGCAAACCAGACAUCUGGAUCCCAGACCCAGUCAUCAUACCAGCCUGGCACUACAACACUGCUUCAGACAGGCCAGUCUGCUCCUACAUCUCAGGCUCAGUCCUCUGGUGCAUCAACAUUGUAUCAAGGAAUUAGGAGGAAUGUGACUUCUCUGGGUCAUGGCUUUCCAUACUCAACCCAGUCUGUGGUGACUGCAAACCAGACAUCUGGAUCCCAGACCCAGUCAUCAUACCAGCCUGGCACCACAACACUGCUUCAGACAGGCCAGUCUGCUUCUACAUCUCAGGCUCUUGGCAGCCAUGGAGCUGCACCUUCAGGACAUGCUAAAUGGUACACCAUUGUACAAGGUCAGACA